rnacentral:lncRNA from 10 species
CAUUCAAAGCCCAGCUGCAUAUUGCAUAACACCUUGAAUUAGAAAAUCCACGACCCACAAAACGCUUACCUACUUUGUGCGGUUUAAAUAAAGCAGAGUGCUACUCCUCUUUAAAGAACUGCUUUACAGUUAUCUUCCUGUCAGAAUUCCAAUUAUUCUAUGACUCAGUGGGAAGUGAGCAGCGUCUCUGCCUGGCCGCCCAUCCUCUGGGAUGUGAGGAGCGCCUCUGCCCGGCCGCCCCGUCUGGGAGGAAGUGAGGAGCGCCUCUGCCCGGCUGCCCCGAAUGGGAAGUGAGGAGCACCUCUGCCUGGCCACCCCCUCUGGGAAGUGAGGAGCGCCUCUGCCCAGCUGCCCCAUCUGGGAGGAAGUGAGGAGUGCCUCUGCCCAGUUGCCCCGAAUGGGAAGUGAGGAGCGCCUCUGCCCGGCUGCCCAGUCUGGGAAGUGAGGAGUGCCUCUGCCCGGACACCCCAUCUGGGAGGUGAGGAGCGCCUCUGCCCGGCUGCCACCCCAUCUGGGAGGUGAGGGGCG